GGACAGUCUGGCUGAGCUCAAGGCUUGGUCAGAACAGGCCCAGCAGAUUCAUGAGCUUACUGUUUCCAGAAGGAUACAGACAAAUGGGCGGUGGAGGUGACUAGCAUUUUGGCUUUCUGGUGACAGCUUCCUGAGACGUCCAGUGACUGCCCCACUGAGAGCCACAUAUGGCACGGGAACAGGAACCUGAACGUCAGAGCAGAGAUCCUCCAUGGUUCAUCAGAGAGGGCUCUUUUGUGAUGCUUGGAUCAAACCCAGAGCUAGACAAGUGAUCCUCAACCCCAAAUAGUCAUCAUCCAGCACAUUCAGGAGUCUUAGCACUGGAGUAGGAAGCAUCACCAGAUCUUCAAUGUGAGGAGCUGUUAGAGUUCAUUACUAUAUAUUACCAUAUGGUUAAAUAUAAAUCCACCAAAUAAAC